ensembl:lncRNA
AUGAGCUCAGGUCAAUGAGGCCUACAGGACAUAAAUAGUUGUAUGAGCUCAGGUCAAUGAGGCCUACAGGACAUAAAUAGUUGUAUGAGCUCAGGUCAAUGAGGCCUACAGGACAUAAAUAGUUGUAUGAGCUCAGGUCAAUGAGGCCUACAGGACAUAAAUACAUAGAAGUUCAAAACAUGUAAUGUUCACAAGAACUUAAGUUAAUAAAUAGAUCUAAACAACAUUAAGUGAUAAUAUAUGUAUUAUUAUGGAUUUAUAAUCAGCUGUAACGGGGCAGUCAUUUUGGACCAAUUAACAUGAAACGAACACAACAGGAGGGUUAAGUGGCUUGCUUGGCAUUGAGCAGUAAACAAAAAAAAGUAUAACAUUCAUGAUGGUGAAGUUUACGGAGAAAACAAUGUUAGUAAUGGGUAUGAUGGAUGCUGCAGCGGGACUAAGCAGGUUCGCUGGUUGAGUAACCUGCUGGGCCGGUCAGGGAGACCAGGGGGAGACUGCGUUUCCUGCUGUCACGUGAAAGACUGACAAGCGUUGUUGAGUGGUUCUGACCCCAUGACAUGCCCAUACAUGAAAAUCUACUCAAUAUUUACCACUGCAUCAUGUUGCGUUUCUGGAAACACUUUCAACUGAAAAUGGGAUAACUGAAUCAACUAUUUUAUUUUAUUUAGAUUACGCCAAAUGCAUUCGAAUGUAAAACGUUUAGUUCUAUAGACUUGUAGCCGCAAUGAUCUGAAUGAAAAUUGCAAUGAAAAUGUACAUUUCAUGGCCCAAAACUAUUAUAUUUUAAUCUAACGUCAGUGUAAUAAACAACAAAUAGGGCUGGAAAUUAGUGAAAGGGCCUUGUCGUAUACACCACGUUAAUUGAGACAUAUUUUACAUAACCUGGAGAUAUGUUGAGGUGCGCUCGACGCAUCAGCUGUGUCGCAUAGAAAAUACUGAAGUAAAUACAAGGAAAAUGUCAUUAACAUCUCUAAGAAAAAUGAACAGCUGACCACAUGAUAUUCUCCGUAAUGUGGGCCUAUGAGCUUUGGGAAAUUUCGUGACCACCACCGAACUAAAUUUUACAACAUAAACUCAACUUUUUGAUGACACCUUCCCAGUGGGUGUUUUGCCUAGAUGAGGUUUGCACCCGUAGCGCGAAA